rnacentral:rRNA from 1 species
GACGAACGCUGGCGGCGUGCCUAAUACAUGCAAGUUGAGCGAUGAAGCUUGGUGCUUGCACCAAUUUGAAGAGCAGCGAACGGGUGAGUAACGCGUGGGGAAUCUGCCUUUGAGCGGGGGACAACAUUUGGAAACGAAUGCUAAUACCGCAUAAUAACUUUAAACAUAAGUUUUAAGUUUGAAAGAUGCAAUUGCAUCACUCAAAGAUGAUCCCGCGUUGUAUUAGCUAGUUGGUGAGGUAAAGGCUCACCAAGGCGAUGAUACAUAGCCGACCUGAGAGGGUGAGCGGCCACAUUGGGACUGAGACACGGCCCAAACUCCUACGGGAGGCAGCAGUAGGGAAACGUCAGCAAGGGACGAAAGUCUGACCGAGCAACGCCGCGUGAGUGAAGAAGGUUUUCGGAUCGUAAAACUCGGUUGGUAGAGAAGAACGUUGGUGAGAGUGGAAAGCUCAUCAAGUGACGGUAACUACCCAGAAAGGGACGGCUAACUACGUG